rnacentral:rRNA from 3 species
GUUUUUGACGGAGGCUCCAGGUUGCCCUUUACUGUGAGUGUCUGGGGCGCCGUCAGGUUUACUUUGAAAAAAUUAGAGUGCUCAAAGCAGGCUUUACACGCUUGAAUAUUCGUGCAUGGAAUAAUGGAAUAGGAAGUCGUUCCUAUUUUGUUGGUUUUCGGGAAUUGACUUAAUGAUUAAUAGGGACAGCCGGGGGCAUUAGUAUUCAGACGACAGAGGUGAAAUUCUUGGACCGUCUGAAGACUAACUACUGCGAAAGCAUUUGCCAAGAGUGUUUUCAUUAAUCAAGAACGAAAGUUAGAGGUUCGAAGGCGAUCAGAUACCGCCCUAGUUCUAACCAUAAACGAUGCCAGCUAGCGAUCCGCGGGUGUUACUUUAAGGCCCCGCGGGAAGCUUCCGGGAAACCAAAGCUUGUGGGUUCCGGGGGAAGUAUGGUUGCAAAGCUGAAACUUAAAGGAAUUGACGGAAGGGCACCACCAGGAGUGGAGCCUGCGGCUUAAUUUGACUCAACACGGGAAAUCUCACCAGGCCCGGACACUGGAAGGAUUGACAGAUUGAGAGCUCUUUCUCGAUUCAGUGGGUGGUGGUGCAUGGCCGUUCUUAGUUGGUGGAGUGAUUUGUCUGGUUAAUUCCGAUAACGAACGAGACUCUGUCCUGCUAAAUAGUCGUGGCGUCUCUUUUGCGCCUCGAUGUCUUCUUAGAGGGACUGGCGGCUUUUAGCCGCACGAGAUUGAGCAAUAACAGGUCUGUGAUGCCCUUAGAUGUUCUGGGCUGCACACGCGCUACACUGAAGGGAUCAGCGUGUUUUCCCUUCCCGAGAGGGACGGGUAAACCGCUGAAACCCCUUCGUGGUAGGGAUCGGAGCUUGCAAUUAUUCUCCGUGAACCAGGAAUUCCCAGUAAGCGCAAGUCAUAAGCUUGCGUUGAUUACGUCCCUGCCCUUUGUACACACCGCCCGUCGCUACUACCGAUUGAACGUUUUAGUGAGGUAUUUGGA